GUGCGGGAUGAACAGCACCGGUACCGCCGGGGCCCGUGUGCGGGAUGUGGCUGUAUGUCGGUAUUUGCGUCUGUUUAUCCGCGUUCCCUUUCGAUGUUCGGCAGCAGCGUAUUGCAACACCGCCCGCUCGUGCGCCGGGCGGCACUUACACCAUCGCCGAGUUAACUGUAGAUGUCAGGCUGUGCUUGCUCUGGGGUGAUGUCACAUCGGUAAUAAGGCGCAGAAAUGGGGAUUCGGUGCGGGCAGAGCGUGAUGGAGCCGGCCCGGAGGCAGCCGGCGGAGCCGCUCCGCUCCCUGUGCGGGCCUGCUGCGGGGGCAGUGCCCGGCGCGGGCGGAGCGGGGCGGCACUGCCCGCCUUAGCCAUUAUUUGUGGGGAGCUGCCGACUCGGAGCUGCACGUAUUUAUGCCUGGAGCAGAGAUACUUGGCUGGUUUUGCCUUACGAAGGUAUUCAGGCCAUUGGUGCACUUCAAAGGCAAAAGUGAUAUCUUUUUGGCUCCAAAAUUGCCUUUUGGCUGCUGAAUAAAACCCGAAGAUCAAUCUUUUUUGGUGGAGGGGUAGCUGAGAAAGAGAGAUGUCGCAGUGGAAAAGUCCCAGGUGCUAACUACCAGCACCCU
rnacentral:lncRNA from 12 species